CCUACGGGAGGCAGCAGUGGGGAAUAUUGCACAAUGGGGGAAACCCUGAUGCAGCGACGCCGCGUGAGGGAAGAAGGUAUUCGGGAUGUAAAGCCCUUUUAGUAGGGAAGAAAAUGACGGUACCUGACCAAUAAGCACCGGCUAACUACGUGCCAGCAGCCGCGGUAAUAUGGAGGGGGCAAGCGUUAUCCGGAAUUACUGGGGGUAAAGGGGGCGUAGGCGGGUGAGCAAGUCAGGAGUGAAAGGCGGGGGGCUAACCCCAGAACUGCACUGGAAACUGUUGUGCUGGAGUGCGGGAGAGGUACGUGGAAUUCCUGGUGUAGCGGUGAAAUGCGUAGAUAUUAAGAGGAACACUGAUUGCGAAGGCGGCGUACUGGACCCUAACUGACGCUGAGGCGCGAAAGCGUGGGGAGCAAACAGGAUUAGAUACCCCUGUAGUC
rnacentral:rRNA from 1 species